rnacentral:lncRNA from 1 species
CCACCACAUAACACCUUAGGCAAGGCGAAUAAAAGCAUUAAAAUCACGAGCAAAUCGGAACACAAUCCAAAGGAGCAGCUAACGAUAUUACAUUCAACCUGCGAUACUACACCCGGAUCCGAGGAAAGAACGAAUUCAAACACGAUCGGUGCUAAUGCCUUAGCCGAUGCGUUUGCCUCUGUCACGACUCGCGGGCUGAUAAACUGCUCUUUCGUAAUCCAUAGCGAAAAACCCACCAAGAUAUAAGAGCUUGGGAGAGAAGAAAAGAGACGUGGCCGAACCGAACCGGCCUCCUGAUAACAAAUUUGCCGAUACACUAAUGCCAAAGGGUCCUCAGUUGCCCAAAACCACAAACGCCUAAUACAGAGCUACUAGCAUUCUUUCACGAAAACAAACGUCCUCCGCCGUCAGUCGUCGUGGCCAUUAAUGGACGGCGCCGGGGUCGCUCCUCCCCGGAGACGCAGGCUAGAGCAAUGGACUUGGGGAUGUGGGAAUGGAGGCCGCUGGGAAAGGGGAUUCCCAGGGCUCAGAGGGAGUGGCAACAAUGGCAGUUCCUCAGCUUUAAAAGGGAAAUGAAAGGCCAAAAGAGAGAGAGAAGGGUAUCUUCCGAAGCAUAUGCUUGAAGCAUUAUUAAUCCG